rnacentral:rRNA from 1 species
CUAACGCUGGCGGCGUGCCUAACACAUGCAAGUCGUACGAGAAAGUCGGCUUCGGCUGAUGAGUAAAGUAGCGCACGGGUGAGUAACGCGUGGAUAAUCUGCCCCUGAGUUCGGAAUAACGUACCGAAAGGUGCGCUAAUACCGGAUAAUGCUGAGUGACUACUGUCGCUUAGCCAAAGAAGGCCUCUGUUUACAUGCUUUUGCUUUGGGAUGAGUUCGCGUACCAUUAGCUAGUUGGUAGGGUAAUGGCCUACCAAGGCGACGAUGGUUAGCUGGUCUGAGAGGAUGAUCAGCCACACUGGAACUGAGACACGGUCCAGACUCCUACGGGAGGCAGCAGUGAGGAAUAUUGCGCAAUGGGGGCAACCCUGACGCAGCAACGCCGCGUGAGUGAGGAAGGUUUUCGGACCGUAAAGCUCUGUCGAGCGGGAAGAAAUGCAUGGUGGCUAAUAUCCAUCAUGCUUGACGGUACCGCUAAAGGAAGCACCGGCUAACUCCGUGCCAGCAGCCGCGGUAAUACGGGGGGUGCAAGCGUUGUUCGGAAUUAUUGGGCGUAAAGAGCGUGUAGGCGGCUGAAUAAGUCAGAUGUGAAAUCCCUGGGCUUAACCCAGGACGUGCAUUUGAAACUAUUCAGCUUGAGUAAGGGAGAGGAAAGUGGAAAUUCCUGGUGUAGAGGUGAAAUUCGUAGAUAUCAGGGGGAACACCGGUGGCGUAGGCGACUUUCUGGCCCUAUACUGACGCUGAGACGCGAGAGCGUGGGUAGCAAACAGGAUUAGAUACCCUGGUAGUCCACGCUGUAAACGAUGUUCACUAGGUGUUGGGGGUAUUGACCCUCUCAGUGCCGCAGCUAACGCAUUAAGUGAACCGCCUGGGGAGUACGGUCGCAAGAUA